UACAGAGGGUGCAAGCGUUAAUCGGAAUAACUGGGCGUAAAGGGCGCGUAGGUGGAUAAGUGAGUGAGAUGUGAAAUACCCGAGCUUAACUUGGGGAGGUCAUCUCAAACGGCUUGUCUAGAGUAUGGGAGAGGGAAGUGGAAUUUCUGGUGUAGCGGUGAAAUGCGUAGAUAUCAGAAGGAACAUCCGUGGCGAAGCCGACUUCCUGGCCCAAUACUGACACUGAGGCGCGAAAGCGUCGGGAGCAAACAGG
rnacentral:rRNA from 1 species